GGAUAACGUUCGGAAACGGACGCUAAUACCGCAUACGUCCUACGGGAGAAAGCAGGGGACCUUCGGGCCUUGCGCUAUCAGAUGAGCCUAGGUCGGAUUAGCUAGUUGGUGAGGUAAUGGCUCACCAAGGCGACGAUCCGUAACUGGUCUGAGAGGAUGAUCAGUCACACUGGAACUGAGACACGGUCCAGACUCCUACGGGAGGCAGCAGUGGGGAAUAUUG
rnacentral:rRNA from 1 species